UCCUUUGUCAGCCGGCCUUCCCCUGUCUUCAUCUCCUCUGUCAGCCGGCCUUCCCCUGUCUUCAUCUCCUCUCUCAGCCAGUUGACCUUCCCCCGGCUUCAUCUCUUCUCUCAGCUGGUCUUCUUCCUUUCUCUUAGCCGCGUUCUCAACAGUGGGUCUUCCCCUCUCUCUCAGCCGCUCUCACCUGUGGGUCUGCCCCUCUCUCUCAACCGCUCUCACACAUCUUCCCCUUUCUCUCAGCCAUCCAUAGUCGAGACUAGCAUCUACACCAGCAUCAGACAGUACACAUAUGGAAAAAGUGGCAUCUUUUGAUCCAUUCUAUGCGAACAUUACAAUAACAGCUAGUCAUCCUGGUAAGACGGUGAUGUUUGAGUUCUCCACUAUUGCUAAAGGUCUUGGGAAAGCUGAUGUGAAUGGCAUGAUGAAACCUGUUCCAGAUAUGUUUCACAAAUUAUGGUUGAAGGCCACAAGGAUGGAGUCAGAGGGGCAUGAAGAGUCCAUGAGCCCUCCAAAGCCCUAAGAAAUUCUUUCUUAACCCUACUUAUGCAGAACCAAUGGAGAUAUAUCAUGAACCAAAUGGAGUUUGCUGCUUUUUACCAAAAUAAACAAUUUCACUACAACUUUGUUAUACUAAAUAUAUUUAUAAUUGAUAAGACAGGGAGCUGUGUACUUUGUGUGUGAACUAUGUUUCUUUAGAGUUGUAUACCCAGGUAAAU